ensembl:lncRNA
AUCUGCCUCUCUUGGGCCUGAUAUUGGGGGAAUCUGCCUGGGAACAGCAGCUGAGUUAUCUACUGUCCUGACAGCCCUUCUUCUGCUUUCUUGCAGUCUUUAUUUGCAGUCAGGAUCAUAACAAGGCCCAGCUGGCGAAGGGGGGAGAGCGGCUGCUCUGAUUACUGGGUCAGAGGAACAGAUGCUCCAACCUCUGCCAGGAACCAGCAGAUAGCCCCCAGCACCCUCCUGGCACCCAGUGCUGCUCUGCAGUGCUGCAUGGGAGGAGGAACGGAGUCUGCCUCUGUGCCCUUCGACUCAUUUAAACAUUCCUGAUGUGCAGGAACGAGGGUCGGUGCCUGCCUUUUGUCCUUGCUCUCUCCAGGAAUCCCAAGCUGCAGACCCCAGUAGGAGUGAGCAGGGAAUUAUGGAGGUGUGCUGCCUCCAUCACUUGAAGCCUUUAACCCCAGGUGUUUUCCGACAAGAUCUGUUCCGGCUCACAGAGGAGCUAUAAGCUCAGUGCAGAAAGGAAUGUCCUGUAUUAUGUGUGAAGUCAGACUUGACGAUCAUAAUGGCCCUGUCUGGCUGUAGGAGAAUAAUGUCCCGUGUGGGUUUUCCUUCUCUUUCAUGUAGGACUAUUCUGGAGGAAGGCUCGCAGUGGAGGUGAAAUAGCAGAUCAACACCAAGGCAGCAAGCUGAGGCUGCAGGGAAUGGCUCAGGGGGGAAAUCAAAGGGAAGAUGUCUUUGUUACCAACCCAGCUGCAACUUCCUGCUCCGGCCAGAAAAUACCCGAGGAGGUGACUUGUCAGCGGACUGCAUGCCUUUGCCUCGCCUCGCUUCCCCAUAAGAAAUGAAUAAUGAACUUGUAGGGCAAACACUGAAGGGCAAGGGGAAGGUGGAAUUCCCAGAAAUUAUCGUCCCUUGGUAAGCACAAAGAGAGCCUCUGUCCUUCACCACUCUGAUUCCUAUAAAUAGAGCUUUACUGUGAAGGAGAGGGCUUCCCUCCGCUGAGCACAAGUGAUAAACCAGCAUUUCUCAUCCAGUGGCACUCCUCUCAGUUUGGAGCAAUACCUUUCAAUUCAGGGCAUGACCCACACCCCACCCAGGGUCAGUGAAUUGGUCUCCAUCAGGGCUGUUCCUCAUGGUUCCCCUUUCUGUUUCACCUGACUUUUGUCCUUCUUACCCUGAGCCCUUUCCCCACAGGGUUUUGCCAUACAUGAAAUGUACUUCGUGUCUCCUGCUGUGCUGGAGAGUUUGUAUAGUGGAUCACUGGUGAGGAAGGCUGGUCACUCUGCCUUAGACCAAACGGGAUGUUUUCAUGGCUGUUUCUCCUUCAUACUCAAACUCUGCAACCAGAAUGCUAAUUUCACACCAUUGCCAAAGUGCAAAGCAGCUGGGCAGGCUGUGCUCCUUCAGAGAAGAGUCUGCUGGGCCACCAGCUGAGCAUGAAUCACAGCCUGAUGGAGAAAGGGUGAGGAGACGUGGUUUGGCCUCAGGAAGAGAAAACUGGAAAAGCAGACAAGAGCAAUCUUCAAAAACUGCUGCAAAAGAGAAAGGGAAUGAUCAGUUCUCCACACGCACAGAAGAGAGGGCUUAAAUUUCAGCAGAGAGGUUCAGCCUGAAUUCUGCUGAAAGCUGCGAAGAGGGGAGGAUGAAGGGCAGAGCACAGCUCUGCUUUCAGUUUUGCCCACUGAAGGUCUCUGGCUGGGGAUGCAUCCUGCAGCAAUGCAUCGGGCAGCUUUGUUUCCACGGGGCUGAUGAUUUCACCCAAAGGGUGUAGUGGAAAGCCCAGCUCCUUUCCUCUGGGCUGGAAAUCAUUUAUUCUUGCACCCAGGUAUGUGUUAAUUACCUUCCAGCAGGCUACGCAGCCUCGCUCUGCACUGUAAUUCUGUUUCUCCUCAACCUGAGGAAAGAGGAUAUGUGCUAACAAGUCGGAGUGGAGGAAGGCUUACAUUUCAGCUUGCUGUGUGCUAAUCCACAUCCUCUUCCCCUAAAUCCUCUUAACCUCCACGUAUUUCCAAUCACAAGCAGUUGCACCAAACGCUACUGGAGCAGCAGAAGACACCAUAACUCGAACCCCACGAGCAAACUAACCUGCUAAAACAUUUACAAACAGACUAAAUGGUGAUAAUUUGAUCUCCGAGCGUCUGGGCGCUGCUCUCUUCCUUGCCCCACCUAUUGUUCGAUUGUGCAUUGUAAUUUCAGGCUGUGCUCCAUGCACUCAUCUUUUGAGAAGGCUGUGACCAAGUAAUCGAGGCUGUCAUCACGCACAACCUGGCUCGGGAGGCAGAAAUCUCCCCACUGCUCUUUUUCCAUUUCCUGGCUCGACAUCAGGGGAAGAGAUUAUGUGAUCUGAUAGGUAAAAUUAUCCCAUCAGAGGUGAAUGUCCUAAUAAAAGGCUUUUGCAGGCCUGGUUGUGUGAUAUCCCUGAGAAGGCUACAUUCAUUUGGAGUCCUUUAUUGAAGGGAAUGCUCAGUCCCUAUGGAAACCCCGCAGGACAAAAGGUGAUUCUAGCUGCUAAAACACCACAGCUACAUACACACAGGUCAAGGAUGCAAAACUGUUGCAUUUGCCUGAUUGGGAAAACAAUAACAAAAAAGGAACAGCAACAAAACACUCUGAUGUUGGCUGCUUGGCUCAAAACCGAGAGCUGUAUUUUCCCAGCUGGUGAAAAUCUGGGGCAACCAGCACAGCUCGGCCUGUUUGUCCAAAAUGGGAGGUAAAACUCUGGAAGUCUGUGUUGUUUUUUUGAACCUGAUCGAGUAGGAUACUUGGUCAGGUUCAGUGAAUCUGGAGAAAGGAAAAUAGAAGUCUUUCUGGGCAUCCUCCUUCGAGACCCCCGCCUCUCUCGUGCUGUUUGUUCACCUGUUUCCUUUUGUCGGUGGGUUCUGAAAGGGCCUCUAAAAAAAAGGAGCUAUAGAAAGCAUUUCUGAGAUUUACUGUGUGUGGUUGGAGGGCGGCUGGGGACUCCCUCCAUCAGAAUGGGGGACCUGUGGGAGGGAGGAAACGGGGAGAAGCAGCUCGGUGCUUGCACUGGGGGAGACGGGGG